rnacentral:rRNA from 1 species
UUUAAUUGAGUUAUUGAAUUAAAUUAAAUAAAGUAUUAAAUGUUAAAUCAUUAAAUUGAAAAAAUUUGGCGGUAUUUUAAAAAAUUAGAGGAAUUUGUAGUGUAAAUGAUGAGACACGAUAAGAUAAACUUUUUAUAAAUUUAUGUAUUGCUGUUUUAAAUAAUUUAUUAAAUAAAUUUUGUAAUAUUAAAUUUAAAAUAGGAAUUCAAGUCAAAAUGUAGUAUUUUAAAGAAUUUUAUGAAUUACAAUUUUUUAUAUAUUGGAAUUAAUUUAAUUUAAUUUUUUAAGGAAAAUGGAUUUAAAAGUAAAAUAAAAUUAAUUAAUUUAUUUGAAUAUAUUUUAAAAUAAGU